rnacentral:rRNA from 1 species
UACGGGGGGAGCAAGCGUUGUUCGGAUUUACUGGGCGUAAAGGGCGCGUAGGCGGCCACUGCAAGUCAGUUGUGAAAUCUCCGGGCUUAACUCGGAAAGGUCAACUGAUACUGCAGGGCUAGAGUGCGGAAGGGGCAACUGGAAUUCUCGGUGUAGCGGUGAAAUGCGUAGAUAUCGAGAGGAACACCUGCGGCGAAGGCGGGUUGCUGGGCCGACACUGACGCUGAAGCGCGAAAGCUAGGGGAGCGAACGGG